CCUACGGGAGGCAGCAGUGAGGAAUAUUGGUCAAUGGGCGGGAGCCUGAACCAGCCAAGUCGCGUGAAGGAAGAAGGUACUUAGUAUUGUAAACUUCUUUUGUCGGGGAACAAAGGCGGAGACGCGUCUCCGGAUGAGUGUACCCGAAGAAAAAGCAUCGGCUAACUCCGUGCCAGCAGCCGCGGUAAUACGGAGGAUGCGAGCGUUAUCCGGAUUUAUUGGGUUUAAAGGGAGCGUAGGCGGGUUGUUAAGUCAGUUGUGAAAGUUUGCGGCUCAACCGUAAAAUUGCAGUUGAUACUGGCAUCCUUGAGUACAGUAGAGGUAGGUGGAAUUCGUGGUGUAGCGGUGAAAUGCUUAGAUAUCACGAAGAACUCCGAUUGCGAAGGCAGCCUGCUGGACUGUAACUGACGCUGAUGCUCGAAAGUGUGGGUAUCAAACAGGAUUAGAUACCCUAGUAGUC
rnacentral:rRNA from 1 species